rnacentral:lncRNA from 1 species
CAUUCAGUUUACAAUAAGCUGUAGAAGUUUAUUCUUUUUGAUAACCUGUUAGAAGUUUUUUCUUUUAACGGCUAAUUAAACACAAGAUCUGCUGGUAUUGCUCGAUAUAUUUAAAAUGCUUAAACUACCUAAACGUAGCUUUUGCUAAAAGAUGAUAUAUUUACCAAACCAAGGCUUUAUCUUCUGCUAAGUCCUCUUCGGUCCAAGCUGAAGGGGAGGAACUACACGAAGCUUGAGGGAGCUGUUAGACCAUAUAUAUCUUUGUCAUACACCGAUCUAUAAAGAUAGAAGCAAGCCUAGUUAGGCUUGAUGUGCCUAAUAUUAUUCUAUCACUAUACCAGGGAUGACACAUCCUCUUAUAGAAAUAUAGGUUAUGCUGUGUACGAUAGACUUCUGUGGACUGACUCUUCCCGGAUCCCGCACCUGGCUGGAGCUUAAACAUUAUUAAAGGGUGUGACCUAGUAGUCAAUAAAGUGGGAGCAGAAUCAUGGCUCAGGUUCAAAUCUUGCACUUGUCACAUCGUAGCAACUUUACCAGUUAGACCAAGACUGCCCUUUGACAUUUCUUCCAAAUAGAAUCAACUAAUAUUAGCAGUAAAUAAGAUAAUCACGCACUGUACAGAUCUAAACUGCAUUGGAUCCUCUGAUUAGAAUAACCAGUGCUAAGAACUAGUACUUCAAAAUUUUGCCAGACUAAAAUAUUAGAUAUACUCAAGGUAUAGGGAUUCAAUCACAGCCUUUCCUUGUUCUACCUCCCUCUCCUCCAAUAUUCAUGAGCCCCCAAACAGAAGGAACAAGAAAAGAAAAAAAAAAACAGUACUUUGUCAUCCAAAAAUUAAUAUUCCACUAUGUAAAUAGAAAACAAUCAUCCGUACUUGAUGCUUAUAUGAACAUUAUUAAUUACCAUGACUAAGUAAUAAAUUUGGGCUGAGAAUGAGUAUUAAUUAAAAUUGAAGUAUGUAAAAACAUGUCUUAUAUUCAUUACUUAGGUGUAAAUUCUAAACAAAUUUUUCCUGAAAAAAUAGAGGUGGCUAAGUGAAGGACAUGAAUUAAGCAGUAUUUAAUACUUAAACUUGAC